CGCGUAGGCGGUUUGAUAAGUCAGAUGUGAAAGCCCACGGCUUAACCGUGGAAGUGCAUUUGAAACUGUCAGACUUGAGUACCAGAGGGGAAAGUGGAAUUCCCGGUGUAGAGGUGAAAUUCGUAGAUAUCGGGAGGAAUACCGGUGGCGAAGGCGACUUUCUGGCUGGAUACUGACGCUGAGGCGCGAAAGCGUGGGGAGCAAACAGGAUUAGAUACCCUGGUAGUCCACGCUGUAAACGAUGUCAACUAGAUGUAGGGGGUGUUGAUCCCUUCUGUGUCGCAGCUAACGCAUUAAGUUGACCGCCUGGGGAGUACGGUCGCAAGAUUAAA
rnacentral:rRNA from 1 species